UCUAUAUUUAUAUUUCCAAGUCUAUCCAUAUUUUGAAAUAAUCUAUUGUGACUACAAUAUGUAUAUUGUUUACUUAUUUCUAUUGUUUACUUAUUGCUCUUGUUUACUUUUAGUCAAAUUUGAUUUUCGGUGCCUUACUGAUUUGUGUUUAAGCAAGUAGAAUUUGGACCCCUUCUAUAUUUACACCUAGUGACGUACUAAUUCAAAACUUGAGGAUAGUAUUGUUUGUUGAUUUGUCCCACUGACCGCUUAAUAUAAACCAAGAAGUUAUAAAUAAGAAUGUUGGGAGUACUGAUUCGUUGGGUUGGUUUCGUUAUGAAAAUGAAGUUUGCACCCUGUUGACACAUGCAUCAUAUAGAUGUAUAUAAGAGAGUUUUAGGAGCCUGUGUGGCUAGAUUAAUAUUUUUAGCCUGUGUGGCUGGAGCCUGUGUGGCUAGUUUACUACUUUUAGCCUGUGUGGCUUGAGCCUGUGUGGCUAGUUUUCUCAUUGGUAUGAGACUUAUUAUCCGGAUCAUUAGUAUUUCAUAUAGUGUUGUCUUAGUCACAUUGCAUUGCAUAUAGAAA
rnacentral:lncRNA from 1 species